rnacentral:rRNA from 1 species
GAGGCGCCUUCGAUACUGCUGCUCUUGAGUCCCGGAGAGGCUGUCGGAAUUCGUGGUGUAGCGGUGAAAUGCGUAGAGAUCGGGAGGAAUACCAGUGGCGAAGGCGGCCUUCUGGACUGACACUGACACUGAGGUGCGAAAGCGUGGGUAGCAAACAGGAUUAGAUACCCUGGUAGUCCACGCCGUAAACGAUGUCGACCAGCCGUUGGGUGCCUAGCGCACUUUGUGGCGAAGUUAACGCGAUAAGUCGACCGCCUGGGGAGUACGGCCGCAAGGUUAAAACUCAAAUGAAUUGACGGGGGCCCGCACAAGCGGUGGAGCAUGUGGUUUAAUUCGAUGCAACGCGAAGAACCUUACCUACUCUUGACAUCCUGCGAACUUGUGAGAGAUCA